AUGCGCAUGUUGAGAUGGAUGUGUGGCCACACAAGAAAGGAUCGGAUCGAUGAUAUACAUGAUAGAGUUGGGGUAGUACCGAUUGAAAAGAAGCUUGUCCAGCAUCGUCUGAGACGGUUUGGGCAUAUUCAACGUAGGCCUCCAGAAGCUCCAGUGCAUAGUGGAUGGUUAAAGCGUGCUGAUAAUGUCAAGAAAGGUCAGGGUAGACCAAACUUUGGCAUGGAGGAGUCCGUACGAAGAGAUCUGAAGGACCGAAAUAUCACCAAAGAACUAGCCAUGGACAGGGGUGUGUGGAAGUUAGCUAUUCACGUGCUAGAACCAUGA
rnacentral:rRNA from 1 species